rnacentral:rRNA from 1 species
CCUACGGGAGGCAGCAGUGGGGAAUAUUGCACAAUGGUGGAAACCCUGAUGCAGCAACGCCGCGUGAGUGAUGAAGGAUUUCGGUAUGUAAAGCUCUAUCAGUAGGGAAGAAAAUGACGGUACCUGAGGAAUAAGCACCGGCUAACUACGUGCCAGCAGCCGCGGUAAUACGGAGGGGGCAAGCGUUAUCCGGAUUUACUGGGUGUAAAGGGCGCGUAGACGGGAAGACAAGUCUGAAGUGAAAGCCCGUGGCUUAACCCCAGGACUGCUUUGGAAACUGCCUGACUGGAGUGCGGGAGAGGCAAGCGGAAUUCCUAGUGUAGCGGUGAAAUGCGUAGAGAUCAAGAAGAACACCAGUGGCGAAGGCGGCUUGCUGGAAAGUAACUGACGUUGAUGCUCGAAAGCGUGGGGAGCAAACAGGAUUAGAUACCCGUGUAGUC